UGUUGGAGCCAUAUCACCCUGCAACUCACAACUGACAACCCUAAGCUGGUGUGAGCCAGGUUAGUACCUGGAUGGGAGACCUCCUAGGAAAAACUAAGGUUGCUGCUGGAA
rnacentral:rRNA from 1 species